ensembl:lncRNA
UCUUUCUUUCUUUCUUUCUUUCUUUCUUUCGAUAGAAUUCUGCUAAAUUGCCUAGGCUGGACUUGAACUUCUGAUCUUCCUGCUUCAGCCUCCCAGAGAGGUAGGAUUACAGCAUCCAGAUCGCUGGUGGCUCCUGGUCCCCAAGACUGCCUGAGCCGCGGAGUAACCUCAGGGCGGAGGGCACUCCUGUCUCCAUAGUCUGUGGCGCCAGCCGCCUCUUUCUCAAGGAAGAGUCCACAGACAAGGUCUCACAAUGUAGCCCAGAUCCUCCUGGCUCAGUCUCCUCAGUGCUGGGAUUACAGGCGCAUCACAUGUCCAGUGGCAACGUCUUUUACUGACCAGAACCAACAGGCGUUUUCGCAAAGUGCUGCGCAACAGCGGGGUCCUCCGUUCUGCCUCUUGGAGCAACUCGCUUGCCGCCCAGUCACCGUCGAUCAGUCACUAUCGGGUAGAGCCAGAGUCCAUCAUUCGCGUUCAGUUCACCGAGAAGUCAGAACGCAACUGAAUCCGACCGCAAGAUCUGGGGAUCCUAGUGCCUGCUGUUUGUUUCGGCUACGAAACACCGCGCGAUUCCUAGGGCAACAACUCUGGACUAAAUCCAAGUCCUGCCAGGCCCAGCCCUUUCGUAGUCUCGCCCAACCACCGCCCCCAAGAUGAUAUCCAAUCGUAAGCCCCGCUCGCCCAAAACUCUGCC